AUGGAACGCGUUCGAACCCUGAGUUUCCUCCCGACGUAACUUGCUUUCUUCCAGAUGCUGAAUCUGCACUUUUAUUAAGAUUUUUUUCUGCUUCCCUGAGCUUGAUUUUCAUGGUAUCCCUGCACUGAGCAGAGGGAUGGACCCAGGAGCCCGGAUGGAGCUUUCCUACUCUAUGAUUCCAUGUUUCAAGGCAGCCAGUGUUCUUCUCUUUUUUACCUUCAGACAUGAGCAUUAUCUUCUAAUGAGGCAUCACUGGAUGAUUGGACAUCCAGUGAUGACAGUCACACAUCUAAAUGCUCUAGAAAAAUCCAGGAGGCUCCCUUUGUCCCCUUAGGUGUUCUAUAUUCCGUGUAUGCAGAUUACAUCAACACCUCAGAUAACCGAGAACCAAAAGAAGUGAUCAACACAAAGCAAACAACUGACACCUGCUGGAGGGAUAUCUGCAUGUGAUGGGCUGUGUGUUGGGAAUAAAGCUCAUGGGUUUG